ensembl:lincRNA
GCCUGGUUGAAGAUGGCUGAGCGUAAAACAGAAUGCAAGUCAGCUGGAGCACGUACUACUGGAGGCAGAGCCCCAUAAGAAGGGGCCAAGAACCCGCACCCACCAAAAUCAAGAAGAAAGGCUGAACCCGGAGAGAAAAGGGAGCAACUGAUGUUGCCAUGCAGAUCCCUUGGUUGCUAUGAGAUGGUAACAUCACUCUGCCCCACCAUUGGCCAGUGCCUCCUCAGCUGCGGUGCCUCCCAGGCUGUGUGGUUCUCACGCGGGCCACUGACACAGAGCUGUUACUAUGGUGAACUUUACAAUUUCCUUUGAUUGGUGGAUUUCAGAAAUAGGCCAUCAGCGGAAUUCAUUAUAUUCAGCUAAGUAAAAAUGAAAAAUAAAUACUAUAGCUUUCCCCUCAUCACUAACAUGAAGGAAACGUGACCCUUCAUGACAUAAUAAAUCGCUGUUCGGUAACUUAGGAUCCUUCAGGGGACUGAAGCGGGAUGAUUCUCCUAUGCCAAAUUUGGGUGGGAAAGAUAUUCCCUGUAGCUUUGAGUCCACUCUUCAGAGUUAAGGGCAGUGGGCCAACCAGAGUUGGAACUUCAGAGUUGGGAGGAGGUGUGGGAUGGGGCAUGCAUUGAAAUGUAAACUCUAUUGUCUCUGAAGUGAUGGGUGAUGCUGGGGGCCUGAGUGUGGAGGGCAGUUUUACAUCUCAGGACAAUGUUUUCUCAGAUGCUCUUCCAGAAAGGAAAGCCAGGAGUACUCCUGGCUGGAGGCGGCAUGCCUGAGGUCAGAGUCAAAGUAGGGUUUGUGCUGUCUGAAUCCUUUCUCCCACUCUCCCCAGCCUGGCUCAGCUUCUCAGCUUCUCCCACCAAACUCUCAGUCCCUCAUCGUGGGCAUGAGGACAGCCCUGUGUGCAGAAAACGUGUUUCUCGAUUUCGGUCUCUCUCUUGGUUAAAGCCAAUUUCCAAAAAAACAAAACCACCUUAUCAGAGCAAGACCCAUGUCAAGCUCCGCAGCAGGCACUAGGUGGCGCUAGAUCCCAUGUUAUUAAGGCAACUCCAAAGCUGCGCCCUUUUCUGGAAAAAUGUUUCUGUUGUGAGAUCCUCUCUUUCCCAGAGACCUGAGACCACCUCAGUUUAUACCACAAGUUUAAAGCGCCACCAGAAGAUCGCAUGCUAUCUCAGGAGCCCCAGCUUUGCUGCUAACCUAGUCCUUUUCAGGGUGUGGCUGUGGAAGGAGUUUCUAGACCUGAGGCUGGAGACCCCAAGUCCUUUGCUGAACUGUAAAUAAUAUUAGGAACAAGUAGUCCAUUUCAACUUCUGCUCUGCCCUGAGGCGCAGGAAGGAAAACAACUUUUUCCCUUAGGAGGAGGUGAGGAAAAAAAAGAGGCAGAUCCUAGAAGCUCCUUUGUGAGAGCAGCCAAGCAUCUUCCCUGCCCUCUCCCGCAGAAUGGAGGCCCUCUCCGCAGAAGGAAAUGACCCCGACCUCAGGUCAUUUCCUUCCAUGGCCAGCCCCCUCUCAGGGUGAAACAUGAUCCUCAGUGCCCCUCUGGAGGUAAGCUGUAGGUUCUUUUUUUCUCCAGGGAUCUGAACUGAGGUUGCCCUGAAAUGCCUGUUUAAUUUCAUUGCCGAGAGCACACCUUCUCAUUAUUUCGAGAGCUGUGACCCCAAAGCACUUAUGAACAAUAGCAGCAACUGGCAGUUAUAAGCUAUUUACAGUUUUCUAAGCGUUAUGAGCACUCUUGAUGACUGGAGAGGCAGGUGAGUUGCAUUUUCUGUUUGCAGAUACAGUGACUGACACCCCAGGGUCUCAUUGGAACUGCUGGCACUGAUGUUGUCUCUUGGAAAUGAUGAUGAUCAUUGUUGCUUAUUAUAAUUUUCACUGUUAUGUUCCCUUUGAUGUGUAAGAGGCCAAACAGAACACAAGCUUUUGGUUAAUGGGUUUCCUGUUGGCUGAGUCUAUCUGGGCUGAAUGUGGAGAACCACUGAAAGGAGGUGAAUGCCCUGAGCAGACCUUUACCUUCUUGGCCAUAUGAGAGUUUACUGCAGUAGGAAGCUGGGCUCCGCAGAGUGAAGGGCAGGUGUGUGGGGAAGGCUUCCUUGCCCCUUCCACCGUGUGAAGACAUAGGGAGACGAUGGCCAUCUAUGAACCAGGAGGCAGGCCCUCCCAAGGCCUGUUGCUGGCACUUUGAUCUUGGACUUCCAGCCUCCGGAACUGUGAGAAAAGAGUGCCUGCUGUUUAAGCCACCCAGUCUGUGCUAUUUUUGUUAGAGCAGUCCGAAUGGACUAAGAC